rnacentral:misc_RNA from 1 species
AACUGAUACUACCUGCGGGAACCUGCGGAGGGAUCAUUACCGAAGUUACUCUUCAUACCCUUAUGUGAACCCUACCCCUCGCCGCGCGGUUGCCUCGGCGGGAGGUCGCGGGCUGGGGCUCCGGCCCCUGCCCCCGCGGCCCCCGCCGGCCGCGCCCAACUCUUCUUCUGCAAAGCGGACUGCAAGUUCUGAUUAUAUCUUGAAAAACAAGUCAAAACUUUCAACAACGGAUCUCUAGAU